ensembl:snRNA U6 U6 spliceosomal RNA
UCGCCACGGCGGCACAUAUACAAAAAUUGGAGAAGACUAGCAUGGCCCCUGCGAAAGGAUGACACGCAAAUCUGUGGAGCGCUCCAUCUUUUU